UGGUGGAGUGAUUUGUCUGGUUAAUUCCGUUAACGAACGAGACCUCGACCUUGUUAAAUAGAUCGGCGAAUCCUUUUGGAUUUGUCCGAGGCUUCUCAGAGGGACUAUUGCGUGUGUAGCCAAUGGAAGUUCGAGGCAAUAACA
rnacentral:rRNA from 1 species